rnacentral:rRNA from 1 species
UCUGGGAUUAGAUACCCCACUAUGCCCAGACAUUAACAAGACACAUAGUCCACCAGAAAAUUACGAGCGAAAGCCUAAAACUCAAAAGACUUGACGGUGCCCCAACCUACCUAGAGGAGCCUGUUACAUAAUCGAUAAUCCACGAUCAACCUAACCACCCCUUGAAACCACAGCCUAUAUACCGCCGUCGUCAGCCCACCUUAUUAAAGAAAUAAAGCAGGCUAAAUAGUAUUACACUAAAAAGUCAGGUCAAGGUGUAGCUAAUGGUGUGGAGAUAAUGGGCUACAUUUUCUAAUAUAGAACAUACGAACUAAUAUCUGAAAACAAUUACAAAGGUGGAUUUAGCAGUAAGUUAGACAAGAAUAUUUAACUUAACAUAGCCCUGGGGCACGUACACACCGCCCGUCACCC